ensembl:lncRNA
GUAAAAACACAAAAGGACCAAAGAUUCAUUGCUUUUUUAUUUCAUUCAAAACAAUUCAAUCACUUCUAAGACAGUGACAACUGGCAUCAAAGCAGCAGAGAUAUAAUUAAUUGCACAGGUGUGUCUUUGAAAAUGAUCUUCCUGUGUAAGCUUUUGUCUAACCUUUUCUUAUGUCCUCUCACAGAGACACAUCAUCCGUUCAACAAUGGAGAUUUGUGUGGAGGCACAUUCUUGCUAUUUUUGCUAAUACAUCUGCAAAUCCACCUGAGUGAAGUGAAGGCUGCUUGACUUUUUACAUUUGCACACAUAACAUGGGGCUUUCUUUUGACAGCAAAGCCAUCAGUCGGCUCUAAAGAGACUAAAAGCAGUAAAUCGCGGUCACAGUUCUAUGACAGACAAGAGGAGUGUGUCCCCCUCUAGUGAUGAUGUAACGACGCUGCACCUCAAAACUUGAAAUCGGAUCUACAGGGUCAGUGUUCCAGGAGUUGACACAGAGCCAGUAGGAAACACCAUCCUCCUCUCCCCAGCCCAGGAUCUUGAUGACAUGUCUACCCACAGCAGAGCCUGAAACGUGUUGAUACACACCUGGAGACAGGAAGAGGACACAGGAAACACAAGUGGGAACCACGAGGUCCCAAGCAACACUCUACACAAUCACUGAGCAGAAUAUGCAGUUAGGGUUCACCCUGUACUCAAUAUUCAGUGUAAUGCGUGUUUGCAUUACAUCUCUUACUGGUGCAUGUGUUCUUGCCAGACUUGCACAAUACAAAGUCUUCAUAGACUUUAAAUGCUCCCUCUACUGGGUUGUUCUUGUAUAUCUCAGUCUGAAUCUGGAUCACAUUUGAUAAUGUGAUAAUGCCCGAGGGCCAACCAUCCUGUCUCACAUUCUUUGAACCAUUAAACCUGUCAAAGAUCAUAGAGGUAUGAGAUCCCCGAGUCAGCCAUAGGUGUGGGGUUCUGGCAGAAUAACAGCAAAAUAAGGGAACACAGUAUGAUAUUAUAACCUGUGAUUUAUGAUUGAUUCAUGCUAUAACAUAAUAAAUGUGUUUAAACUAACCAAAUGCCUAUUUUUUAUAUAUACAAUCUUUAUUUGAAACAGCGUAGAAAUCAGAAGAGUCCCUCAAUGUGAAAGGUGGUGAGUUGAUUAUUUUUUGAAC